AGCACAAGUUGCCGAGCUCUUGCGAUUCUUUACGGGGAGUGGAGACGAAGAGGAGGGGGCACGAUGGCCAAGGCUGAAGAGAAGGUGGGCUCCAGGAGCGGCGUGCAAUGGAGUGCGCUGCCCACAUCGGACGGCGUUGCCAUCGCCAGUAGUAAAACCCCACGAGAAAUCUUGAAGCUCUUUGGGGAUUUCCUGACCCCCACCGAGAGAAGCGAGGUCCUCACCGUGAAUAACAUCUGGUAUUUCGGCGUCCAUAACAAAGGCUUUGGCACCCAGAACCAUGGCUACGAUGAUGUCU